GCCCUACACUGGAACAGGCCACGGAGGAGGAGGAGGAUGAUGAUGAUGCUGCUGCAUUUAGUGACGACGAGCCAGAAUACAUUUUUGUCCGUCGCCAACCAGUGGAGGAGACACCUGUGCCAAUUAUUUAUGGGGGCCCCAGACAGGGGCAAGAUAGGUGGGCUGGCCCAGAAGCGGGCAGGCAGCAGCCCACUUAUA